rnacentral:rRNA from 1 species
GACGAACGCUGGCGGCGUGCUUAACACAUGCAAGUCGAACGGAAAGGCUCCAGCUUGCUGGAGUACUCGAGUGGCGAACGGGUGAGUAACACGUGGGUGAUCUGCCCUGCACUUCGGGAUAAGCCUGGGAAACUGGGUCUAAUACCGGAUAGGACCGCACUUUGGUGUGUGUGGCGGAAAGGUUUUUCUGGUGUGGGAUGAGCUCGCGGCCUAUCAGUUUGUUGGUGGGGUAAUGGCCUACCAAGACGGCGACGGGUAGCCGGCCUGAGAGGGUGGACGGUCACAUUGGGACUGAGAUACGGCCCAGACUCCUACGGGAGGCAGCAGUGGGGAAUAUUGCACAAUGGGGGAAACCCUGAUGCAGCGACGCCGCGUGGGGGAUGAAGGCCUUCGGGUUGUAAACUCCUUUCGCUAGGGACGAAGCUUUUUGUGACGGUACCUGGAGAAGAAGCACCGGCUAACUACGUG